rnacentral:rRNA from 1 species
AUGGGGCGGCCGUACGCAGUCAAGGGGAAGAAGAAGCGGAAGCUGGAAGGCGGCGAAGCCUCGCGCGCCCCUCCGGCCGACGCCGAGGCGGUGGAGCAAGAGGUGAAGGAAAAUGAGGAGGUGAUGGAGGGGGAGGCGGCGGCAGAGGCUUUUGCCGAGGAGGUGGGGGAGGGGAUCCCCAUCGUGCCCCAGCCUGUCGACAGUAAGCGGCGGCCGGGCGCUAUCUUCGUACUUGAGAGGGCCUGCCUCGAGGUCGGCAAAGUCGGCAAGGGUAUGCAAAUCUUGAAUUCGGAUGAUCACGCAAAUUAUUUGAGGAAGCAGAAUCGCAAUCCAGCUGAUUAUAGGCCUGAUAUCAUUCACCAGGCACUGCUUGCAAUAUUUGAUAGCCCUCUAACUAAGGCUGGGAGGUUACAAGCUGUUUAUGUUAGGACUGAAAAGGGAGUGUUGUUUGAAAUCAAGCCUCAUGUUCGCAUGCCACGGACGUUCAAACGUUUCUGUGGCUUGAUGUCACAGUUAUUGCAAAAGCUGAGCAUCACUGCAGUUGGGAGGCGUGAGAAGCUCCUUAAUGUUAUUAAAAAUCCUGUUACCCAGUAUCUACCUGUUGGCAUACGGAAGAUUGGCCUUUCAUAUAGUGCGGAGAAGGCAGUUAAUUUGUUUGACUAUGUUGCUAAGUCCAAUGAUGAUGAACCUCUUGUGUUUGUGGUUGGUGCCAUGGCCCAUGGAAAGGUUGACAAGGAAUACUCAGAUGAUUACAUACAGAGUANCGGUUACCCUCUCAGUGCUGCCUGCUGCCUGAAUCGAAUAUGCAGUGCCUUGGAGCAGAAAUGGAACAUCCAGUGA